rnacentral:rRNA from 1 species
AGAGUUUGAUCCUGGCUCCCGAUUAACGCUGGCGGCGUGCCUAAUACAUGCAAGUCGAACGGAGAACUUCUGGUAAUUUAUUACUGGAUGUUUCUUAGUGGCGAACGGGUGAGUAACGCGUUGGUGACCUGCCUCGAAGCGUGGGAUAACUCCGGGAAACCGGAGCUAAUACCACAUGUGGACACGGUUUUUAGAAAACCGUGUCUAAAGGACCUCGGUUCACUUCGAGAGGGACCUGCGUCCCAUCAGCUAGUUGGUAGGGUAAUGGCCUACCAAGGCUAAGACGGGUAGGGGACCUGAGAGGGUGGCCCCCCACAAUGGUACUGAAACACGGACCAUACAUCUACGGAUGGCAGCAGUAGGGAAUAUUGCACAAUGGACGAAAGUCUGAUGCAGCAACGCCGCGUGUGCGAUGAAGGUCUUCGGACUGUAAAGCACUUUUCUGAGGGAAGAGGAAGGACGGUACCUCAGGAAUAAGUCUCGGCUAACUACGUGCCAGCAGCCGCGGUAACACGUAGGAGGCAAGCGUUAUCCGGAUUUACUGGGCGUAAAGCGCGUGCAGGCGGUUUGGUAAGUUGGAUGUGAAAGCUCCUGGCUCAACUGGGAGAGGUCGUUCAAUACUGCCAGACUAGAGGACGGUAGAGGAAGGUAGAAUUCCUGGUGUAGUGGUGAAAUGCGUAGAUAUCAGGAGGAAUACCAGUGGCGAAGGCGGCCUUCUGGGCCGUUCCUGACGCUAAGACGCGAGAGCAUGGGUAGCAAACGGGAUUAGAAACCCCGGUAGUCCAUGCCGUAAACGAUGCAAACUUGGUGUUGGUGGUGUAAAAGCUAUCAGUGCCGCAGCUAACGCGAUAAGUUUGCCGCCUGGGGAUUACGACCGCAAGGUUAAAACUCAAAGGAAUUGACGGGUUCCCGCACAAGCAGCGGAGCGUGUGGUUUAAUUCGAUGCUACGCGAAGAACCUUACCUGGGCUUGACAUGUUGGUUGUAGGGAGCCGAAAGGUGACCGACCCUUCGGGGAGCCAUCACAGGUGCUGCAUGGCUGUCGUCAGCUCGUGUCGUGAGAUGUCCGGUUAAGUCCGGUAACGAGCGCAACCCUUGCCGUAUGUUACAUGUGUCAUACGGGACUGCCGGUAUAAAGCCGGGGGAAGGCGGGGAUGACGUCAAGUCAGCAUGGCCUUUAUGUCCAGGGCUACACACACGCUACAAUGGUCGGUACAAUAGGUCGC